AUUGAACGCUGGCGGCAGGCCUAACACAUGCAAGUCGAGCGGAGCGGCGGACGGGUGAGUAAUGCCUAGGAAUCUGCCUGGUAGUGGGGGAUAACGUCCGGAAACGGGCGCUAAUACCGCAUACUAUCAGAUGAGCCUAGGUCGGAUUAUCUAGUUGGGGGGUUAAAGGCCUACCAAGGCGACGAUCCGUAACUGGUCUGAGAGGAGGAUCAGUCACACUGGAAUGGGGAAACGGUCAAGACUCCUACGGGAGGAAGCGGUGGGGAAUAUUGGACAAGGGGCGAAGGCCUGAUCCAGACAUGCCGCGUGUGUAAAGAAGGUCUUCGGAUUGUAAAGCACUUUAAGUUGGGAGGCGUUACCAACAGAAUAAGCACCGGCUAACUUCGUGCCAGCAGCCGCGGUAAUAC
rnacentral:rRNA from 1 species